AUUGAACGCUGGCGGCAGGCCUAACACAUGCAAGUCGAGCGAGCGGCGGACGGGUGCGUACUGUCUGGGAAACUGCGUGAUGGAGGGGGAUAACUACUGGAAACGGUAUCUAAUACCGCAUACCAUCAGCUGUGCCCAGAUGGGGUUAGCUAGUCGGUGGGGUAACGGCUCACCUAGGCGCCGAUCCCUAGCUGGUCUGAGAGGAUGACCGGCCACACUGGAACUGAGACACGGUCCAGACUCCUACGGGAGGCAGCAGUGGGGAAUAUUGCACAAUGGGCGAAAGCCUGAGGCAGCCAUGCCGCGGGUGUGAAGAAGGCCUUCGGGUUGUAAAGCACUUUCAGCGGGGAGGCGGUACCCGAAGAAGAAGCACCGGCUAACUCCGUGCCAGCAGCCGCGGUAAUAC
rnacentral:rRNA from 1 species